CCACCCAAUUGAACGAUCAAGAUAAAAAAUGAAUUGAUGAUAGCUUGACCCUAGUCAUCUAUUUGUCUCACAACAGCAUCAACAAUGAAAGUGGUAGGUAAAGCCAAAACAAAACUUAAACAAGAAUAAUCUCUAACUUAAUUAUGCCAAAUUAAUCAGUCCCCUUUCUUGCUUUUCUUGAUAUGCAGAGAGAAAGAGAGCGUGGUGUGCAUGAGUGAGUGUGUUUUGUGAGAAACGAGGGAGUGAAAAGGGGAUUUUAGUGCGAGGAACGCAAGAAAAGACUGAGGGAGAUGGUGGGUUUGCAUCAGAAACGAGGGAGAAGUGAAGAAUAACUAUGAUGAUUCUUUGAUCUUCCUUCUGAAUAUAUAUGCUAUUUGCUAUAUAUGCAGCCUCCGUUCCCAAUAAGAAUGAUAUGAUCUAUCUUAUCUGAUUUUAUUUGUCCGUCUUUUCCACUCUGAAACAAACCGUCACUCUUCCUCCGUAAUUAAUUACCCCCAUCGGCCUCCAUCAUCUCAACUCUCUCUUCUCUCACUCACUUAUUUACUGUUCUUCACAUCUUAAAUAGAACCCAUCUGUCGUCUUUACAGUCUUCUUAUUUGUUGUGGCUCCCUACCUCUCAUCUUGUUCGUGUGAGUUUGUUUAUGGUGUGUUUCACAAGGACAGUUGUUGAUUUCAUGCGGGUUUAACAAAGGGCUUCUUACAGAGGUUAUUGGCAUUCUGUCCACCUCCCAUCAAUUGAAAUCAUUAUUCUCUUUCUUCGAGUUGGAGGUGGGCAUACUGCCAACUGAGCUCUGUUGGUUUCUCUUUGUAAAGCCCUCGUGAUUUAUCCCUCCAGCUUUUAUCUCAUGUUCUGCGAUAAAGAGCAAGUGACUGUUUCUGGCGAUCCUGGAUAUCUAUUUGAUAACCUCAACUUUACUAUUUGUUUUCCGGAGGAAAAAAAGGAAAAAAAAAAGCUUCCAAAAUCAUCACUUUUAUCAGUACCUUCAUCUUUUUCACCUGAUCGCUAUUUUUUUUUUCAGGGUUAAGAGGUAACUACAACUUUGUGAAUGACUUUUUAUUACUCGGGCAAGCUACUUUGAAACCCUAGUUUUAUGUUUCCACCGACCCGGUACUUGAGAUUACCUCUUUUUUUUUUUUUUUACAAUUUUCCGAUCUAGGGUUUCAUCAGUCUCGUCUGGAAAACCAUUAUAUUUCUCAUAUCUAGCGCUUUACUCCGAAAGAUCUGUUUCUUUUGAGAUCAAUUUUUAUCCUACAAUUCAUACUACAUAUAAACUUUUGUCAGAACUCAUGAGGCCUAAAUGAUAUCUUCCAUUGAAGAAAUCUGAAACCAGAUUUUGUCUUACUGCAUCUAUAUCUUCAAAUCUUUGUAAAUUGUGUUGAUUACAAUUAGAGAAAUAGAUUUUUGGAUUCAUGGCUUCAUGCAUGACUGCCACCAUUUUUACCAUGUCAGUCAUUUUAGUUAAUUAUUAUUAGUACUUAUUAAAAUUAAUCAUCAAACUUCUGUAUAGGCAGCCCUAGUCCUGUAUACGUUUUUAUACAGUCCGAACUCAUCUACGUAGCCUCAUGAUUGAAGACUGACAACGCUAUUUAAUAUGUUCAAACUAACCUUGUCCCACUCUCACAUCUCUGGACAUUUGGCAGCAUCGAGAGGUUGUUGGGUCGUGAGUUUCACGAAGGCUUGAAGCGGGUGGAUGAAGUUAGGUUAGGCUCCUUUAAGGCGGGGCUGAGGCGCUGAGCGCUAGCCCACUGGGGGGUCCCUGGUUAGUUGUGGUUGCUAUUAUUUCGUCGGAGUCAAAUAGUCAAAGCAUUUUAAACUUCGUCAAGUGUACGAUUCAUCUACAACUGGAAGAAGAAUAAAGGAAUGCCUUGUAAUUCCCUGUACUAUUUUCCAGUAUAGUUUUGGUCUCUUAUCGUGUUAACAUAGAAUUCCAAUUGUGCUCACAGUCGAGAUUAAACAGUAGUUAAUGUUCACAUUAGUUAUACACAUUACGCCAAAACUCAAAUUCUUAUCAUGUUGUGAUUGUUCAAGAAUUUUAAGAUAUUGUGUUCAGAUACCUAGUUAAGAAACGAACAUGUUCUCCAA